rnacentral:rRNA from 1 species
CCCUUAGAUGUCCGGGGCUGCACGCGCGCUACACUGUAGAAAGCAGCGUGCUUUAAAACCUUUCCUGAAAAGGAUGGGUAACCCCAGCAAAAUUCUACGUGCUUGGGAUAGAGAUUUGCAAUUUUCUCUCUUGAACGAGGAAUUCCCAGUAAGUGCGAGUCAUCAGCUCGCGUUGAUUACGUCCCUGCCCUUUGUACACACCGCCCGUCGCUACUACCGAUUGGGUGCUCAGGUGAAUAAUUCGGACUGCAGCAAUGUUUGGAUCCCGAACGUUGCAGCGGAAAGUUUAGUGAACCUUAUCACUUAGAGGAAGGAGAAGUCGUAACA